ACCAUUUUCCCAGCUGCCAUCUUCUUAGCCACUAUCUUCCCAGUCAGCUGUAUCCACUUCUUUUCCUACACCUUCCCCUCCUCAGGACAAUUCUAGUAUUGCCUGUACCCAUUCUCCUUCCUCACCGCCCUCUCCUGAAGACUGUAAACCCAUCCCGCCACCUUACACCCCUAUCUAUCCUCCACUGCCUGGUAACUCAACCCCUUUUCCCCCUUCAAAUCCUCAGCAGAAACCACUAUUUUAAACCUUUGGUUCAUCUCUCAAUCCACCCCCAAUAUUCAGUGCAAGCUUCGGAAGCUUGAUGACAGCCCUGAAACCCUACAAUGAGACCUUCCUAAUUUAGCCUUCAAAGUCUUUAACAAUUGUGACUAGGAAAGUAGAAGGCAAAAACAGGCAGAGUUUCAAAUGCUUGCCUCUGCCAUCAGGGGCCCUGCAGGCCCACGGGGCCGCAGCUCCACACGGAAGCCUCCUAACAAUCCAUCUCCACCUGGCGCCUGUUUCAAGUGCUGCAAUGAAGGCCACUGGUCCAGACAAUGCCCAAAUCCAGGUAAGCCCACCAGGCUGUGCCCCCUCUAUGGAGGACUCCACUGGAAGUUGGACUGUGAGCAGCCCCCGCAAGGACCGCCCCCGACCCUUCCUAAGCUGGCCAAAACCUCCUACUUGGAUCUCAUCAGCCUUACUGCUGAAGACUGAUGGUGCCCUGGAAUGGAUGCCCCAGCAAUUACCAUCUCUUCAUCCAAGCCAAGGGUAACUCUGAUGGUAGAAGCUGCUGGUCUGGAAGAGAGAAGGCUGGAUGCAGGAACACUUUGGCACAGGCUCCUAGGAUCCUGGGAUCAGGACAUAAUAAAUUUACUUUGAAUAAAUGGGACUAGAAACAGAUCUGGCAGGUGGAUAUGCAAUCAUUCCUAUGUGAUGAAGCUCCAGUAAAAUCUCUGGACACCAGCACAGGAUGGGAUGUCCUUUUGCAGAGGAAGCCCAGGUUGGACUUGAACUUCUGGGCUCAAGUUGCCCAUGCUGGACUUGAACUCCUGGGCUCAAGUGGUCCUCUGGCCUCAGCCUCCCAUGUAGCUGAGUCUACUGAUGUAUACCAUCACACCUGGCUUUUUCUUUUCAUUGGAAAAUUUAGUCCAUUUACAUUUAAAGUAAUUGUAAUAGUACCCCUUCUAUUACGAGGGAGGAAAAUAAAACUCAGAUUUCAGGAAUCAAUCAAGGUCAUGUAGCAACCUGGUGGUCAGCCAGAGCUAGAAAUUAUCAAAUAUGAUGAUCCAGGCUAAAUUGUGGUCCUCUACCACCAAAUUCAUAUGUUGAAGACCUAACACCUGGUACCUCAGAAUUUGACCAUAUUUGGAGAUAAGCUCUUUAAAGAGGCAGUUCAGUUGAAAGGAGGCCGUUAAGGUGUGGCCUUAAUCCAGUAUGUCUUAUCUUCUUAUGAGAAGAGGAAGAGAUACCAGAGAUGCUGCACACAGAGAAAAGACCAUGUGAAACCCCAGCAAGGGUGGCCAUCUGCAAGCCAAGAGAGGCCUCAGAAGGAACGAAACCUGCUAACACCUUAAACUUGGAGUUUCAGCCUUUAGAGCUGUGAGAAAACAAAUGUCUGUUGUAUAAGCUACUCUACAGUAUUCCAUUAGAACAGCCCUAGCAGAUGGAUACACUAUUGUUCAAGAGAGCUGCUGUAGUGCCCUUAGCUCAGCAAAGCAGGUCCAAAAUGGGGCACAGGGUGGGGAAGACAGACCUAAUCCCUGACUCCCACAGCACCUGGAACCCCACAGCUGGGACUCUGGGCCCUUCCAGAGACAGCAUUGCUUACCUAGACGUGGAUCAAUGGCUAUAGUUCAUCACCCCAAGAAGCAUAGCAGGGAAGCAGAAAACGUGGUCACAUGAGGGCCACAGAUGGAGUGGGAGAAUGAGGCAAGAGACUGGUAAAGAAGUACAUACCGUGGGGACUCCAGAAACACUGGGCAGUCCUUUAUAUGGGGAGUGUUCUGCUCUCAGUUGGCUGUUGUCUUUUAAGCCAAUGGACAUUUGGAUCAUACAAGUAUUACAAAUAACCAAAUUUCAUCAUUUUUUAAUAAAUGUAUUUCCUGAACAUACAAGCCCAUAUUUGGAAAAGCUUGCAUGAUCCCUUAAAAGUUGUCACCUCCUCUUUUGGUUACUAAGGACUCCCCAAGUCCAAACAUAACAACAUUGCCAAAUGAUUGAUAUUUGAACUAUCAUACUCUCUUCACGUAGCAUAAUUGUCCUGCACUUAAACCAAAUCUCAUAUGCUUUAAUGAUUAGAUCUUUUCACCCCCUUUAAUUUAUAAGGAAAAUUGAUUCUUUGGGUCAAUAUUCCCAGGGGCACAAGAAUCUGGGCUGCUAGUGGAGUCUGAGUGGGAUUGUCUGAAUGUUAAUUGUUGCUUCUGAUGUCUCCUGGAGCAGAGAUGCUGUGGUUAUUUUCAAAGCCAAACUCUGGCUACAUGUCAAAAUCUACAGCAAAACACCAGAGCCAUUUUUCUGCAGAUACAAAAUAAAAGAAGAUUAAUCACAUUUGUCUCCUCUACUACCUUUUCAAGAGAAGUUUUUAUUUUAAACAGCUGCUUGUUGACGACAUUUGAAGGCUGUAGAGCAUGUCAAAGGAUGAUGGAAAGUUUUGA
rnacentral:lncRNA from 10 species